GCUGAUGAUGUCACCAGUGAUGCAAUUUUUCCCAAGGAGCCGUCAAUUGGCUUGGUGUCGUGGCAUUUCUGUAUCCUCCUCCCUUCUGCUAGUGAUGGUCUAAAAUUUGGGGGCCAAUGGCGUAUGCUGGACCGGUAGUCAGUGACGGGUAUGAUCCAAUUGCAGUGGUAUCAACCUAAGACAGGAGGCUGACGCCUAAAGGUCAGUUUUCCGAUGACGGGUAAGAACCAUAUGUUGAAUUGGACAACCUACCAGGCACGGUCCUUAAGCCACAUUGCUUGUUGUUUAAUUAAUCAGAAGGGGGGAGAUGCUGGGAGCCAUUAGCCAAG
rnacentral:lncRNA from 1 species